ACUGCUCAGUUAUUUCAGUUGCACUUGAAGCAGCGGAGAAAACAUGUACAGGCGUGAGCACGUUAAGUUAGCAUUGCUGACAUUAGCAGCAAUACUGCUAAUGGUUAAUGGCUGUUCAGAUCCAGAGGGUCGGGGGGAAGAGACGUCUGAAUCAGAUAUCCAUCUGUGGAGGUUGCUAUCGUGGGUCCCCCUGGACCAACUGGACCUCAAGGCACUCCAGGACCUGUAGGACCGCCUGGACUUCCUGGACCUAGAGGACCUCGAGGAUUGCCGGGCCCUGUUGGACCUCCGGGGCCUCCUGGACCUUAGCGUAUCCAAUAUCUCUGCCACCCUCCUUUCAGUAAACUGGGACCUCAUGAUGAUGUUUUUGGACCACAUGAUCCAUACAAUUAUCCUAAUGAUGCUCAAUUUGCUGGGGACCAGGCAGGGUCACCUGACCUGUACAGAUCUUAUAAUCCUAAUGAUGAAAUACCAGGGAAGGAGGAGGAGUAAAUUGAACACAGAUGACUUCAUCUCACCAAACAAGACACUGUCCAUUACAGCUGGCAGAGUACAGUUAAAACUUGGAACUAAUAAAAGUUGGCGAAACAUCAUUGGGAAGUCAUCAUAUACUUUAUGUGUCAACUAUUGAACAAAUUUAUUAAAGACACUCUUUUCAGACCGA